rnacentral:lncRNA from 1 species
UGUAUUUGAAUAUUUGCGUUAGCAUGAGAUUCUUGAUACGAGAUGUGUGGCCAACCGAUUUCAAGAAGGCAAAAAAGCCAAGUUAAGGAAGGCAGAAAGAAAUUUCCAAUGAACAGUGUUUGGAUUAAGCCUUCCAAUGGCCUAUAUAUUUACCACCGAAGCAAGUUGAGAAAUUUAUAAUGGAACUUCGCCGACCUGAAAUCUCAAUUCCUACUUCGGCACUCUCUAGGGGUACAGCUAGCCGUUGAAGUUACAUCCUCUGUUGCCAUUAAUUUUAACUUCUUUUUAUUUAUUUAUUUAUUUCUGUUUUAUGUUGACUAUGGUGUGAUCUGCCGAGUAGAAAAUCAUAGAGAAGCUUUCCGUCGUUAUAUUGAAGGGUUUCGGUGGGUCUACAAAGCUGGCAGGCUGAAGAUUUUCAGUAGAAGUUCUUACACCAGCCACUGAGGGACCUAUAUAUCCAUGUGGGUAAUGCAAUUAUCAAUUUUUUAGCAAUUAAUAUGAGAAAAUUUUACCCGAAUUAUUUCCUUUUCUUUUAUUGAAGUGAACUAAGUUUACAAUCUACUUCUGCUAAUCAUCAGAAAUACAAAAAAUCUACUUCCUCUGCCCUCACUAAAAAACACCCGAGUCAACAUUCCUCCAUGCUAUUAUAAUCCUUGUGUUUUCUCUUAAUAUAAUAUUAGAUAAGUAAUUAGUAUGAAAUUAUUUUGGGGAUUUCAUCCGCAACUUCAAUUUUAUUUUAAAUUGAAAUUGUUUUCACCCAUUGAAGUUUCAUUGACCAAAACAUUCAUGAGUUAAAAUUCUAACACCGGCCCUCACUGAUCUUAAUUUUCUAUUUAAAAUUAAAUCAUUAGUCCUUCCAACAUACAAGUAAAAUUUGUUUAGGUAACACGAGGUAUGAUUAUUCUUUUAAAUUCUUUUGGUCUUAUAAUCAUGAAAUAGAUAUUGUUGUUUCUCUCUCUCUUUUCUUUGCAUUUGCUCUGUAAUUCUUAUCCGGACGCCUGGGGAGGUGAGGAAUGAAAGGCAAUAAAGAGAAAAUAGAAUUUGUGGUCAUUAAUGUCUUCAUUAAUGUAUGCAAAAGUUUCUUCAAUUUACUCAUUAAUUCCAAAAGCACCACUUGUAUAAUACUCCCAUCCAAAUCUUGCAUUUAUAACGUCUACCUUACGAUAUCCCACAGGCCAAAUCCGAAUGUUUGCCCUACAUGCAUGUGUGCUGAACCCUAGACAUGCAGCUUCUGCGAAGCUUCCUCAUAUUGCUUCCAAAUCUUGGCUUAACUUCUACAAGCCCAAUUUUUGGAACAAAAACCCACACUUAUUUAUAAAGAUACAGGAAUGCUAGAUGUGUUAAUUUUUAAUCAAAUUAAUUCUCACAAGGUACGUAAUAUGUCUCUUGUUGGAAUCCGUUUAUUUUAAAUAGAUAACUUUUUUGGGGCAGAGGGGUAUAUAUAUAUACUGUGGUUAUUAAAAUUAGGGUUAUUAUGAGGUAUUGUUAUAAUAAUAAUUUUUUAAAAUAUUUUUUAUUUAAAAAAUAUAUUGAAAUAAUACUUUUUAUUUUUAAAAUUUAUUUUUAAUAUAUUUAAACCCAUCCAAAAAAAUAAAAUUUUUUAAAAAUAAUAGCCUCAAAAAAUACAUGGUUUACAUGUUGACAAGUCCACGCAAGAAUAUAUUGUGUUUAAGAAAUAGACACGUCGAAUAAUACAAAUCACAUAUGGUUAGAGUGUACACAGACCGACACAGACACACACACAGACACACACACAGACACACACACACACUGAGACGAUAACAAUUACGAGGUGAUGCAAUUUCCUCGAAGUUUCGUCUUGGUAAAGGUUGGCAGACAGGGACCACCCUUUUGUUUGCUUCGAAGGAUGGUUAUUCUAGUACCGACCGAUGUCUUAAAAACAGCUUAGGUCAUGUCAUUCCUGUAUUUCAUUGGGUAACUCAACGAGUGGUUUAUGACAUUCAUAUAUACGACGUAGUACUUAACAGCUUCAAAGACCGACCAUUGAUUCUCAAGUUGAACUUGUUCGAUGUCAUAGCUGAAAUAUCUUCCAGUUGAGCCCACCUCAAAACUACGUGUCAUGCUGGCAGUUUACACAGACUUGAUUAGUGGUUUCUAGAGUUAUGUUUUUUACAGUGUUUUUAAUUUUAAAAUAUAUUAAAAUAAUAUUUUUUAUUUUUUAAAAAUUAUUUUUAACAUCAUACAUUAAAAUAAUUUAAAUAUAUUAAUUUAAAAUUAAAAAAAUUAAACUUUUUAAAAAAACACUUUUCAAUCAAAAUAUCAAAUUCAGCCAUAGAACAAUCAAAAUAAAGGAAAAGCUAAACAGAAACGUAACCUGUGCUGAUUUGAAUCAUUAGCUUCUGCAUUUUUUUUUUGUCGAACUCAAUAAGAUAAUGUUUAGUUAUUUUAGUAGCUGUGUUUUAGUCAUGGAACCCACGAAAAUUUGAUGUUUCACCUGCGAUUUUGCGCAAGUAAUUUUUUCAUGCUUCUUGCUGCCUUUUUUUUAAGUGAAGAGCUGCACUCUUCACUGUUCACGUGAACAGUGGGGUGUGGCUCUCCACUGUUCACUUAUGUGAACAGUGGGGUGUUUCCGGUCGGAUCGGGUCCGGUCCAAAGCAAUGCAUUGAACCGGGUCCGACCCAGUAAAAAAUAUAUAUUUUUUUAAUUGUGUUUAAUUUAAAAAAUUAGAAGGAGAUCGCUUGAUGAUGUAACAUUUGCAUAAUUUGAUCGCAAUUCCAAUUUUGUUCUUGCCAGGUCCGAUCCAGUUAAAAAAAUUCAAUUUUUAUUUUUAUUUUUAAUUGUGUUUUAUUCAAAAAAUUAGAAGAAGAUCGUUUGAUAACGUACCAUUUGCAGAAUUUGAUCGCAAUCUCAAUUUUAUUCUUGAUGAUAUUUUACCUGAUAUUGUUGCGCGCUUAAAAAACCAUGAAAAAUAUAGUCCUUGUUCGAUAGAUUUCGUACGUGAUGAAAUUGCACAUAGUUUAAUGGAACAAUAAAAAAAUAUUUGAUAUCAAUAUUAUUUAUUUCAUGAUAUAAUAGUAUUAGCUAAAUUUACAAUAUAUAUAUAUAUAACCUCAAUUUAAAAAACUUUCUUUUAACCAAACACAUUAAACUACUUUUUGUUCAACCUCAAUUUCAACCACGGUUUUAACCAAACAUAUAUUUUUCCAAACUAACCUCAAUUACAAGUACUUUUUAUAAAACAAUUUUUUUCAAACCACAACCACAACAGCUACCACAAUACCAAACACAUAAUUUUUAUAUUUACAAUAAAAUAAUAAAUUAUAUAAUUCAAUUUAAUUAUACUAUUUAGAAUAUUUAUGAUAUGAAAUUGAAUUAAAUUAGUAAUUUUUAUUAUAAAUUAACAUUUUUUACUGUUUUGUCAAUGAUGACCCCUUGACAAAAUGGAUCGACGAAUUAAAUUAUAUCGACGACCUUUUGUUUCACUGAUAUGAGUCAAUUCUAUAACAUAUGCAGUUGGACAAUGAGCUUGAUUAUAGAGGGCAUACAUUUUCUUUCUUUCCCCGAUUAGAAUACAAUAUGUUUUAUAGUUGGAUCUUGAAGAAAGUAACAAAGAAAUUCACAUAUGUUUUUUGUUUGUAAUUCUAGAAGGUAGCAUGAAUGCACAACUCAAAGUAAAGAUGUUUUUUGUUGAAGAAAAAAAAAAGUAUUUUUAGAAUAGUAUUUUCAGUCUUGAUUAUAAGAGGAAUUGAUUUGCAAAAUAAAGGGUCUCCUGUCAUUUAUUUUUAUCUAUUUUUUAUGAAUUGAAUAUUAUUUGAAAUUCAAAUCAAUACCCUCAAAAGAGUUCUAAACACAUUAAUUGAUAUAACCCUUGAAAUUGAAUUCAAUUUCAAGAAUAUUAAACAGCUUGUUAAUCUCCAAGCUUUAUUUCAGUUGUUUUUCAUCAGAAACUUACUACCUCUAAUGCUAUUGCCACUCCCUAGUCAAUAAAUCAAGAUAAAUAUCCUACAUUGCUCUUAAUUUUGUGAGUUUCAUAGUUAAUAUAUGAUUGUUUAAGUUUUUUAUUAGAUUAUUGUUUAGGGUUGAGUUUGAUAUUAGUGUUUGUUCAUUUGAGAUAAAUUAUGAUUUAAUUAUUGUAAUUAGGUAUGAUUGUAUGAAAUUGAUGAUGUAAAUAAUUUCAAUUAAGUUGAAGUUAUAUCAAUUAGGGUUUGCGAUGAAUCUUAGGAUUAAUUGUGGUAAAUUGAGGAUUUUAUUCGAAUUGAGAUAAAUUAGCUAGGAAUUGAUACAAUUAAGGUUGAUUUCAUGCUAUUAAGCUUGAAAAUAACAUUAACUAGGUGUAAUUUUGAUCAAAUAGGCUUUGUGUUGAAUUUUGGAUUACUUUUCAAAGUGGGGGAUUUUGUUUGAAUUGUGAUAAAUAAGCUAGGAAUUGAUGCAAUUAGAGUUGGUUUCAUGCAAUUAAGCUUGAAAAUAACAUCAACUAAGUUGAAUCUUGAUCAAUUAUACUUUAUGUUGAAUUUUGAAAUUCCUUAUUAUCAUUGGAUAUCUUGUUGAAUUGUGAUAAAAUGGCUAAGAAUUGAUGCAAUUAGAGUUGAUUUCAUACAAUUGAGCUUGAAAAUAACAUCAACUAGGUAAAUUUUUCAUCAAUUAGGUUUUGUGUUGAAUUCUGAAUUACUUCUUAAAAUUAAGGAUUUUGUUUGAAUUGUGAUAAAUUAGCUUGGAAUUGAUGUAAUUGUGAUUUAUUUUAUGCAAUUUUAUUUAAAUUGUGCCUAAUUUAUCUGAAUUAGUUUUCUUGUAUUUUACAAAAUGUCUUAAAUAUUUUUAUGUUAUGUCAUUAGAGUGGUACUAUUGUUCCCAAAGUGAAUAAUAAUAUCACUUACAAUGGCAAAAAUAUGUUGUUGAAUACUAAUUUAGGCAUGUCGCAUACGUAUAUUAGACAAGUUAUAUGUCAUGAACUUAGGUGGAAUCAUAAUGAUGUUGAAAUUGAUAUUACUUGGAGAUGUCAUGUUGAAGAACAUCAAUAUUAUCUCAGAUUGAUUUCUUGUGAAGUGAGUUUUAAGACUAUAAUUGAUUUGUUUGUCUAAAAUGGAUCGAACAUGAUAUAAUUUUAUGUGGGUAAUCAACCUAAAUGAAUAAUUUAUUAUCAAUUCAAUAAUUAAUUAAUUUAUAUUUGAAGAUCAAAUAUAAUGUCUAAUAAUGUCUCAUGAUCUCCUAAAUAUUAGGAAAGUCACAAGUGGUUUGAUAUAAUCUUUUAGUGACCAGUUUCUCGCUGUAAUUAUUAUCAUUUCAUCAACAAUGUUUUGAUUUGAACAUUAUAGCAUGAAAUAUAUCUACCAUGACAAAUCAUGUUUGUUCUUAAUACUAUAGUUAUUGGUUAUUUGAAUAAUAUUUAAAACUCUUUUCAAAUCUCAUUCCACUUUGCAUAAGGAUUUAUAGUCAAUACUAUUUGAUAAAAAAAUAUAACAUUUUCUCUAAUUCAUCUAUGAUAAUAAAUCUUUUUUAAUUACUAAAAUACAUUUUAUAUAGUUCAUGUUAUACUUAAUAUCUACUUGUUUAUUACCCUUAAUUAGAACAAGUGAUCAAAGUAUAACAUUUUCUAUAUAAGAUAAAAUAGUAAUCUCUGUUACCAAAUUAGGCCAUAUUUUAUAUAUAGCAAUAAUUUAUAUUUACAGGAUCUUUAUAAUUGGAAAAGCAAUGUUAGGGAUUUAUAUGGUUGGUGGAGCAAUGUUAGGGAUUUCGAAUGAUUUGAUAGAGAAAAUCAUGCAUGUAAUUAAUAAUUAGGCUGUAAAUAGAGGGAAUUCUAACUAUUUAAAGAGAUGCAAACCUCCAUUAAGAGGCAUUCAAACCGAAAACCAAUUUUAAUUUUUCUAACAAUUUCAAGUUUAAAAAUCACUUACAUAACUAUUAUAUGAGCUUUUCCAUAGAUACUAAUGAUCUCUCCAUAUAAAAAUCUCAUGUGGGUUAGUUUAGUGUACAUGUAAUCUAACAAACACCUACAUAUUAGUUCUAUGUAUCCCUCAUACCUCAGCUUAUGAGAAUAUUUGUUUUUUUUUUUUUAAGAGAAAGAACAUAAUAUGUAUUAGUAUCAACAAUUUUAAUUAAUGUUCAGUCUUAAUAGAGCAUCGGCAAAAAAUAUUUAAGAACAAUACUUUUAUGCAAUAGAAAUUUCACAAUUAUAACAGCUUUAUAAUUUUCUUUACAAAAUAUUUUUGUCCCAAAAUCUUUAUAUUUACUCUAGAUUCAUUAAUCAAAUAUUUGAUGAAUAUUAAAAAUAAAUGAAGUCUUUAUUAAAAAUUAAAUAUGUUUACAUAAACAAAAUCAAUGUUACGUGUAACCAACUAAUUGACUACAAGACAUAUACCCACUAAAACUAAAGCCAAUCAUUUAUGUAUCAAAUAUCAUAUCGCUAUACUUGAUGAUAAUGCUUUUACUAGGACAGUAGUUUAGAAAAAAGAUCUGCAAGAUUCUUUUUACUGGGUGCUCUCUAUUUUUACAUCUUUUGUUUCUAUGAUUCUCUAAUAAAAUAGAAUUUUUAAGUUUAUUUUUGAAUCAUUGAUGAGACCUUGAUUCAUUUGCUUGUGCAGUAGCUCCAUUAUUAUUAUAGUAUAGGGCUAUUGGAUCAACAGUACCUAGGAGUUACACCUCAAACGCAAAUGUGUACUCAUUUUUAGUUGUAGAAUCUAUUUUGAUUUUUUUUUUGAAACUUUAAUAACUCACAACAUUAUUAUUUAGAGUGAAAUAUAACAAGACUAUAUUUUCAAAUUUCAAUAUCUGAUUAAAAACUAGUAUCCAAAUAACUAAAAACUACUAGUUCAUCUCAUCUAUAUACCAGAAAAUCAUUCUUAGUUUUUAUCAAGUACUUAAACAAUAUUUUUUUAACUAUCUUUUAGUGACCUUCACUUAGAUUAGAUUGAUAUCUACUUGUUAUACUCAAAUUAUAAAAUACAUUUGGUCUUGCACAUAACAUCACAUAUAUUAUAAAUCAUAUAUACAAAGUAUAUGGAAUAAGUUCCUUCCUAUCUCUCUUCAUUUAUGUUUUAGAGCUCGUAUCCUUAGAGAGACGUAUCUUAUGCAGAACAACUAUUUUUUUUUGGAUUAUUUCAUGUUAAACUAUUUUAGUAUCUUGUCUAGUAUAUUGAUUCAGAUAAUCCAAAUAACCUUUUAGCUUUCUUGCCCUUUUAAGAUUGUUUUUUUUAUAAAAAAUUUCCAUUACUCAUUACCUGAAAACACUGCAGCAAAUAAGGCAAGAAAGAUACAAGAAAUAGAAAAAAAAGGAAGAAAGCAAGAUCACGUAGGAGGCAGUAAAAAUUAGAUAGGGGGCAGUGUUGCAAGAAAGGAGGGAAAACAGGUAUUGAAAAAUUAGUAUAAACAUUUUGGGACAGCCUGCCCAGACGAAACGAGGUUCAACCAAGAACCAACCAAGAACACACCUCAAAAGGUGAACAAAAACAUGGGCAUCAACCUAGAGAAUCUCGCAUGAUUUUGGGAGACCUUUCUUCCAAAUUGUUUGGGUUCUCAUUAUACUGCAUUAAAUGCAGAACCCGCUUGUACAGAUUGGGUUUUUUUUGGUUAUUGGGAGAGCAUGUAGGUUUAUUUGUUAUUAGUUGAGGAUUUCGCUUGACUUUCAGUUGUCAAACAAUUUGUUUAUCGUUGGAGUUACUAGGCUUGCCUAAAUCAAGCUUCAUUUCGGUUUGGUUUGUUUUAACUGGAUGACUUGCAACAACUAAUCUGGUUUGUUUUCUUCUGAUGUUGUGUUUAACCUGUGAGAUUAGUUUGCCAAUUCUUAAAACAUUUUUGUUUGUUUGAAAUUGAAAUGGUUUCUGAUGCAUCCAAAUAAAAUGGACCAACCCCCCAAAUACACCCAAAAAAAUCUCUUGGACAACAUAAAGCAUGAUCAGAUUAGUCAACAUCAGGAUUCUAAGAUAUCCAUUAGCAUUUUUCAUUACAGGUAACUAAUGAUUAUUGCAUAUUGCAAUGACAGAGAAAAUGAACACCCUACAAAUUUGUUUACUAUGCAUAUUACAUGAUGAUAUAAUAUUGUUAGUUUAAGCAACCCACAAGGAUUAACAUGCGUUGAUGCAAAAGUAAAACCAAAUUAUCAAUGCCUUUUCACUUCAGUUUCUGGAUAUCCAUUUUUUGUUUUUUCUAAGUUGGACCAAUCAACUCGCCAUCGCCAUAUGGUUGCUCCGUUAAAUAUCAAAUGCUUUCAAUGUUUUUGCGUUUCAUACUCUUAAAUAUGCUGUUAUACCUGCGGCAUCGGGCGGGUAAUUCACCUGGUUACCUCUAUUUGGUAUCCUGACACUUGAUCUUUGGGUGUGAUACAGUAAACACGGGAUCCAAGAUGCUCCACUUGUAACCCGGCGCUCUCACAACCAUCAAAGAAGAGAGAUUCGUCCUCCUUGCCAAUUCUACG